CCAAGAGUCAACUUGUCUGUGGGAUACAACUGCAUUAUUAAUAUCACCACAAGGACAGCAAAUUCAAAACUGAGAGGUCAGACUGAAGCACUUUACAUAUUAACCAAAUCUAAUAACACUAGAUUUGAGUUCAUAUUCACCAAUGUGGUCCCAGGAAGUCCAAGACUGUUUACAUCUGUCAUUGC